rnacentral:rRNA from 1 species
UAUGUGAUCGUCUCUCGCAUAUCAAUAAGCGGAGGAAAAGAAACUAACAAGGAUUCCCCUAGUAACGGCGAGUGAAGCGGGAAGAGCUCAAAUUUGAAAUCUUAAAGGGUUUCCCUUUACGAAUUGUAGUUUAAAGAAGUGUUUUCUGUUGAGGUUUUGGUAAAAGUUCUUGGAAUAGGACAUCAUAGAGGGUGAGAAUCCCGUAUUUGACCUUUACUUUCAACUUUGUGAUACACUUUCAAAGAGUCGGAUUGUUUGGGAAUGCAGUCCAAAAUGGGUGGUAAAUUUCAUCUAAAGCUAAAUAUUGGCGAGAGACCGAUAGCGAACAAGUACCGUGAGGGAAAGAUGAAAAGAACUUUGAAAAGAGAGUUAAACAGUACGUGGAAAUUGUCAAAAGGGAAGCGUUUGACACCAGUGUUGUUUUUCUGAAAAUCAAUUAAAGAACUGUUUAUGCUAAGUCGUUUAGACUUUAUCAGCUAUCUGCUUAGUUUUGAGCUUUUCUUUAAUGCACUUUUCAGUUAACAAGUCAACAUCAAUUUCUUUUGCUGUAAAAAAGCUUGAGGAAGGUGGCUUGAGAUUCGUCUUAAGUGUUUAUAGCCUCUUGCCUAUGCAGUCGGAGAGAUUGAGGUCUGCAGCGUAGAUCCUUCGGGGCUAAAUGCAUUUGUGCUAAGUUAUAGCAUUUUAUAGACAACUUGUUGACUAUGAUUUGUCUUGUAGCUUACUCGCUUAUGUUAUUUUACCUACGCUUAGGAUGUUGAUCUACAGAGCGAGAGU